rnacentral:rRNA from 1 species
GAUGAACGCUGGCGGCGUGCCUAAUACAUGCAAGUCGAGCGAACAGACGAGGAGCUUGCUCCUCUGACGUUAGCGGCGGACGGGUGAGUAACACGUGGAUAACCUACCUAUCAGACUGGUAUAACUUCGGGAAACCGGAGCUAAUACCGGAUAAUAUAUUGAACCGCAUGGUUCAAUAGUGAAAGACGGUUUUGCUGUCACUUAUAGAUGGAUCCGCGCCGCAUUAGCUAGUUGGUAAGGUAACGGCUUACCAAGGCAACGAUGCGUAGCCGACCUGAGAGGGUGAUCGGCCACACUGGAACGGAGACACGGUCAAGACUCCUACGGGAGGCAGCAGAAGGGAAUCUUACGCAAUGGGCGAAAGCCUGACGGAGCAACGGCGCGUGAGUGAUGAAGGUCUUCGGAUCGUAAAACUCUGUUAUUAGGGAAGAACAAAUGUGUAAGUAACUAUGCACGUCUUGACGGUAACUAAUCAGAAAGCCACGGCUAACUACGUG